GCUACUAGUCCGUCGCCCUCUGUUGCGUCGGGAGUUCUUCUUAGAGGGACUGGCUGCGUCUAGCAGCACGAGAUUGAGCAAUAACAGGUCUGUGAUGCCCUUAGAUGUCCUGGGCCGCACAUGUGCUACACUGAUUGCANCAGCGUGUCCUCCCUCCCCGAGAGGGGCGGGUAACCCGCUGAACCGUAAUCGUGGUAGGGAUCGGGGCUUGCAAUUAUUCCCCGUGAACCAGGAAUGCCCAGUAAGCGCUAGUCAUAAGCUAGCGUUGAUUACGUCCCUGCCCUUUGUACACACCGCCCGUCGCUACUACCGAUUGAACGUUUUAGUGAGGUGUUUGGACCUGGCUCUUGGCGGUUUGCGCCGCCUCGGGCCGGGGAAGAUCCCCAAACUUGAGCGUUUAGAGGAAGUAAAAGUCGUAACAAG
rnacentral:rRNA from 1 species